UGGAGCAUUACGUGGUCGAGAACAGCA
rnacentral:piRNA from 1 species